GUGCAGGUGGAGGUGCUGGCUGCCUUCUGAGACGCUCCAUUGCUUGUUCAAGGGUUUCUUCAAGGUCACCUGGAGAAGGCAGCUUUCUUGACAGGAAGCAAUUAGGACAGAGCUGCACUGGAGCCGCCCUGGGUCCCGUCCCCGGCUCUCAUAGGCCCAAGCAUUUAUCUAAGCAUUGCUCGUCUCCAGGCCAUUGGCUCCCCACGUCUCAACCUCUGUGAAGACGGGCAAUCCUCCAGCAACAGCCCCUCAUGUUUACACAGUUUGUCACCGCCAUCCCUGGCAGCCAGGCCAAGCACAUUGAAGUCUCUUACUGUCUGGAUAUGAAGUGGGGACCUAGCUGCAGACAGUGCAUCAUUAGGAGUGGAUCGUUGUGGGUACAGUGUCCCGCUACCAGGACACCCGGCCUCUUCGUGGAAUCUGAAACAAGGGGUGUCUGUUCCAGCUGUCCGACUGAGCCCCGUAACCAAAAUGGAAAGGAAGACUCAGAGGAUUGCUGUUCUACACCGGGGGCUCGAACUCAGAUGUAUGGACAUCAACGCCGUCGCUUAGUGUACCUUCUCAGCUACGGGAGCUAACACGGAUGUGAAAGGGGACAGCGAGGGUGAAGAUAGUCAGAGGGAAAAAACUAAGGGGAGAGAUGGUUACAUGAAGAGAUAGCACUGUGAGAACCCUGUCAGAAACAGCAGGCCAGCUCCCCACGACCAAGGAAGGGGGCUCACAGCCGGACUGAAACCUUCCAUUCUGCUCAUGACUGCCUGGGGGAGGACAGAGUAGGAAAAGGCCUAAAACAGGGAACCACCCAGCCUAGGGUGAGGCCAGAGAGGGAAGUGACUUGACAAAAAGACAAUGCCAGGAAAUACCACAAAUAUCACAAGGUGGGCAGGACCGGGCCAAAGGACCUCCGCUAAAUGUGUAUAAAAAGGUGUAUGCUUUGUGAGCUCAGGGUCUCCUCUGGCCAGCGUGCUGGGGGACCCCAAUGCACGUUGGAACAAUAAACCUCUUGCAGUUUGCCACCUUUCCGGUCUCUGUGGCCUUAUUGAGUGGGGGGUCUUCCGAUGGACUCUUACAUCUGGUGGGCUGGCCAAGAAGCCCCCCUCAGGACCCAGAUUGCCGGGGAUCGGCGAUCAAGGCCCACGUUUGGGGUAGGAUGGCCAGCCCAGGGCUCCUUUUCCUAUCAUCAAAGGCGUCAAGAAGCAAAUCUUCAGGAUCGGUCCGACCCCCGCCUGUGAGGACCUACGCUCUCAAGGAGGCCCCCAGGAAGACCAUCUUAUCAGACCCUGAUGCCAACCUCCUCCUUUUAGACCUCCCUCCGCCCUACCCCCUCCUUCCCUUCAGCCACAGGGAGCAGAAUGCCUCGCCCCUGAGUCGCCACUUCCUUCAGGCACCCAGAGAGACUCCUCCGUUCCACCAGCCCCCCUUCUCGGGUCGGAAGGACUUCGGGAGGGGCUGGCACAGGGGACUCUGAGCAAAAGACCCCUGUGACUCUCCUCCUCCGGCGUUCGCCCCCUUGAUAAUCAAGGAAACCAACCCCUGCAAUGCUGGUCAUUCUCUCCAGCAGGACCAUUCUCUAUGAUUGGAAAUUCGGCCACAAUCCUUCCUUUUCUGAUAACCUUAAGGCCCUUAUUGAUUUUCUAGACUCUCUCUUUUUUCUCAUCAGCCCACUUGGGAUGAUUGUCAGCAGCUGUUGCAGGUCCUCUUUUACCACUGAGGAAAGACAGAGAAUCCUACCAGAGGCCAGAAAGAAUGUUCCAGGCUCAGUUAGGAGGCCCUCACUACUGCCUGUUGACCAAUAAUUUUAAAUGUUGCUCGGGGUAACCAAUCGCAGUCAUCCAACUCAGGCAACCACUAAACUUCCCGCCAAAAUGUGUAUAAAAAGGGUAUGCUUUGUGAGCUCAGGGUCUCCUCUUGCCUGUGUGCUGGGGGACCCCAAUGCACGUUGGAAAAUAAACCUUGCAGUU